GGCAGGUGCCACAGAUGAGAAAACUCCAAAAUUCGGCUCAGCAAACCACCCUACCCUCAGGCCGGGCUGCCCUCACCUUCAGUCCAAACCAAGCCACUUUCAGUCCAAAUCAAGCCACGAGGGAGGAGGCGGGGCCACGACAACGUGCGACGGCAAGUGUGCCCCUCACCCGGCCACGGCCAAUAAGCCUGUGAGUUUAUAUAUAAAGCAUCGCUGUCGUCGGGCACUCGCACAGAUUUGUACAGAGCACAGCAGUGCCUGUGCACGCACAGCAUUUAAAGUCGAAUAGUUAAAUUCCCUUUACAGUUACAGCGACAUAGUUUACGCUUCCAUUUGACCUGGCGCCACAUCAUACAACAUCUCGUACCGGUGCGCUUACUCCAGGUGUCUUUAAUCACGUAAAUCCCUCAUCUAUUGACUAGUUUUACCGUCCAAGCACGUCCUAGAGCCGCGGGGUAUUGUGGGUGCAGUAUGCAAAACACCGGGCAGACGCAGCCCCGCCCCCCGCCGCAUCCCCACGCUCCUGGCGGGCAGAGAAGGGUCGCUCUCGCCGGCGCUGCGACUCGCUGGCGUCAGCCGGGCGGCGGAGGCGGAUGGCGGCGGCGGAGAGGCGGCCUGUGGCGGCCGGGAGGCGCCCUCGGGGGCCCGUGGGCCGGGCGGGCGCGACGCUGGGCGAGAAGGAAGCCCUUCAUUCAGAUGGAAAAGAAGAAAGCCCAGAGGAAUGGAAGGACUAUGAGGAAGGAGGGCCUUAGCAAUCACGGUAGUAACCAAUUCGAAGAGGAAUAUUGACCAAUCAGAGGGAUAUCGGGACACAGGAACUGCAGCCUUUAUAAGCCAUAGAGAAAAGGGACUCAUUGGACCCUUUCCCCCCUCCCUACACGGGAGUCUACUUGUUCUUCAAUAAAUUUCCAUCUUUGCUAUACCA